UACGUAGGGGGCAAGCGUUGUCCGGAAUCAUUGGGCGUAAAGAGCGUGUAGGCGGUUCGGUAAGUCGGCUGUGAAAGUCCAGGGCUCAACCCUGGGAUGCCGGUCGAUACUGCCGGACUAGAGUUCGGAAGAGGCGAGUGGAAUUCCCGGUGUAGCGGUGAAAUGCGCAGAUAUCGGGAGGAACACCUAUGGCGAAGGCAGCUCGCUGGGACGUUACCGACGCUGAGACGCGAAAGCGUGGGGAGCAAACAGG
rnacentral:rRNA from 1 species